GACGAACGCUGGCGGCGUGCCUAACACAUGCAAGUCGAGCGAAUGAAGUUCCUUCGGGAACGGAUUUAGCGGCGGACGGGUGAGUAACACGUGGGCAACCUGCCUCAUAGAGGGGAAUAGCCUUCCGAAAGGGAGAUUAAUACCGCAUAAGAUUGUAGUACCGCAUGGUACAGCAAUUAAAGGAGCAAUCCGCUAUGAGAUGGGCCUGCGGCGCAUUAGCUAGUUGGUGAGGUAACGGCUCACCAAGGCGACGAUGCGUAGCCGACCUGAGAGGGUGAGCGGCCACAUUGGGACUGAGACACGGCCCAGACUCCUACGGGAGGCAGCAGUGGGGAAUAUUGCACAAUGGGGGAAACCCUGAUGCAGCAACGCCGCGUGAGUGAUGACGGCCUUCGGGUUGUAAAGCUCUGUCUUCAGGGACGAUAAUGACGGUACCUGAGGAGGAAGCCACGGCUAACUACGUGCCAGCCGCCGCCGUAAAAC
rnacentral:rRNA from 1 species